CACAAGCGGUGGAGCAUUGUUGGUUUAAUUCGAAGCAACGCGCAGAACCUUACCAGCGUUUUGACAUCCUCAUCGCGAUUUCCAGAGAUGGAUUUUCUUCAGUUCGGCUGGAUGAGUGACAGGUGCUGCAUGGCUGUCGUCAGCUCGUGUCGUGAGAUGUUGGGUUAAGUCCCGCAACGAGCGCAACCCUCGUCCUUAGUUGCCAUCAUUUAGUUGGGCACUCUAAGGAAACCGCCGGUGAUAAGCCGGAGGAAGGUGGGGAUGACGUCAAAUCAUCAUGCCCCUUAUGACCUGGGCUACACACGUGCUACAAUGGUUGGUACAACGAGUUGCGAGUCGGUGACGGCGAGCUAAUCUCUUAAAGCCAAUCUCAGUUCGGAUUGUAGGCUGCAACUCGCCUACAUGAAGUCGGAAUCGCUAGUAAUCGCGGAUCAGCACGCCGCGGUGAAUACGUUCCCGGGCCUU
rnacentral:rRNA from 1 species